UCCAAUUCUGUCUAUCCUCAGGUCCAAUUCAAAUCCCCCACCUCUUCCAGGAAGCCAUUCCUGACUGCCUAGCUGGAUGUGGUAUAGCCUCCCUGUGAACCCUCAUACCACCAUACCAGAAUCUCUGUAAGGACCUUCAAGCUUUCUACCUCACAGCAUACUUUCUACAUUUCAACUCUCUGAAGGAUUGCUUUCAUAAUGGUGACUCAAAUACAGAUUCCUUAUUCCAAGAUGGGUAUUAAGAAGAUGAACCAUCAUUAAUCCCAUGAAAGAACAUUGGGCCAAAGAGAAUUGUGGACAUCUUAUAAGCGCCUCGGGACUGGAAUGAGGAUUUCUGAUUUCCAGAUCUCCUCCCUAGCACUAAACAACAUGGCUUCAGGGCCAAAAUUGUGAUGCUCAAAAAAGAACUCAGAAAACUAUGCUUAUGAGGAGUAUGAGGCAGAGAGGGUGUAAUUUAUCCUGAGUAUACAGCCGGAAAGCUGAAUCUGAACACAAACAGUACUCCACAGAACUCUUGCUUUGGAACUCAAGCUACCAAAAGAUAAGGAUCUUGGCUGAUGACACAAAAAGAAAGCUAAGUGCAGAGUUGGUCCCUAGUGAGAAACGGAUGGAAGGUGAUUCUGUAGAAAUUGCAAGUGCAAGCAAGUAAGAGAGUGUAUUCUCUUCUUUUAAGUCUUCAUUAUUCACCAC